rnacentral:rRNA from 1 species
UCCGGUGAGAUUAACGGAGAGGCCACACCUGUUCCCAUCCCGAACACAGAAGUUAAGCUCUCCCGUGCCGAGGAUACCUGGCUGGAGACGGCCCGGAAAAGUAGGUCCUCGCCGGAU